AUUGAACGCUGGCGGCAGGCCUAACACAUGCAAGUCGAGCGGAUGAAGGGAGCUUGCUCCUGGAUUCAGCGGCGGACGGGUGAGUAAUGCCUAGGAAUCUGCCUGGUAGUGGGGGAUAACGUCCGGAAACGGGCGCUAAUACCGCAUACGUCCUGAGGGAGAAAGUGGGGGAUCUUCGGACCUCACGCUAUCAGAUGAGCCUAGGUCGGAUUAGCUAGUUGGUGGGGUAAAGCCCUACCAAGGCGACGAUCCGUAACUGGUCUGAGAGGAUGAUCAGUCACACUGGAACUGAGACACGGUCCAGACUCCUACGGGAGGCAGCAGUGGGGAAUAUUGGACAAUGGGCGAAAGCCUGAUCCAGCCAUGCCGCGUGUGUGAAGAAGGUCUUCGGAUUGUAAAGCACUUUAAGUUGGGAGGAAGGGAAGUAAGUUAAUACCUUGCUGUUUUGACGUUACCAACAGAAUAAGCACCGGCUAACUUCGUG
rnacentral:rRNA from 1 species